AGACCCGAAACCCGGUGAUCUAGCCAUGGGCAGGUUGAAGGUUGGGUAACACUAACUGGAGGACCGAACCGACUAAUGUUGAAAAAUUAGCGGAUGACCUGUGGCUGGGGGUGAAAGGCCAAUCAAACCGGGAGAUAGCUGGUUCUCCCCGAAAGCUAUUUAGGUAGCGCCUCGUGAAUUCAUCUCCGGGGGUAGAGCACUGUUUCGGCUAGGGGGCCAUCCCGGCUUACCAACCCGAUGCAAACUGCGAAUACCGGAGAAUGUUAUCACGGGAGACACACGGCGGGUGCUAACGUCCGUCGUGAAGAGGGAAACAACCCAGACCGCCAGCUAAGGUCCCAAAGUCAUGGUUAAGUGGGAAACGAUGUGGGAAGGCCCAGACAGCCAGGAUGUUGGCUUAGAAGCAGCCAUCAUUUAAAGAAAGCGUAAUAGCUCACUGGUCGAGUCGGCCUGCGCGGAAGAUGUAACGGGGCUAAACCAUGCACCGAAGCUGCGGCAGCGAACGUAUCACUUAAAGCGAUUCAGCGGGUUACGAUUGACGGAGCGAAGCGACGUCAAAGCGUAUACAAAGUCGAGUCGGUUUAAGGAUACGUUCGUUGGGUAGGGGAGCGUUCUGUAAGCCUGUGAAGGUGGCCUGUGAGGGUUGCUGGAGGUAUCAGAAGUGCGAAUGCUGACAUAAGUAACGAUAAAGCGGGUGAAAAGCCCGCUCGCCGGAAGACCAAGGGUUCCUGUCCAACGUUAAUCGGGGCAGGGUGAGUCGACCCCUAAGGCGAGGCCGAAAGGCGUAGUCGAUGGGAAACAGGUUAAUAUUCCUGUACUU
rnacentral:rRNA from 1 species